rnacentral:lncRNA from 1 species
GCAUGCUUAUGCUUAAACUGCACCUUUCAUGGGAGAUCUCAAAGAGUUUUUCAACUGUUAAUUUAUGACCCCUGGGGAAAGGUAGGUGGCAAAUAAUAUCUUUCUUCUUCAAAUGGAGAAGCAGACCAAGAAAGUCCCAGCUGCCUUAUCCAAGGACACAAGUCAAGCUCUAGCAUCAUGCAAACAAUAGAAGAAUUAUUUGCCCACAAAACCUAAGAGGUGCACCAACGUGGAUUGUGCAGUUUCAUUAGUCUGUCGAUUGUGUAUUCUUGCAAAACAAAUGACUACAAAUCUCAGUGACAUACUUUGGUUCUUCAUGGUCACACAGAAGUUAGUAACUUCACUGGGAUUUAGUCUGUGUAUAUCUGACUCCCAAAUUCCAAACUUGAGACCCCCACAGUGCAUUGAGAUGAG